rnacentral:rRNA from 1 species
UACGUAGGUGGCAAGCGUUGUCCGGAAUUAUUGGGCGUAAAGCGCGCGCAGGCGGUCCUUUAAGUCUGAUGUGAAAGCCCACGGCUCAACCGUGGAGGGUCAUUGGAAACUGGGGGACUUGAGUGCAGAAGAGGAAAGCGGAAUUCCACGUGUAGCGGUGAAAUGCGUAGAGAUCGGGCGGAACACCAGCGGCGAAGGCGGCAUCCUGGCCCGUACCUGACGCUGAGGCGCGAGAGCGUGGGGAGCAAACCGG